rnacentral:rRNA from 1 species
CCAGCAGCUGCGGUAAUUCCCAUGGGAUUCGCUCGAGACGGUGAACGGUUACUGCUCCACGGCUCAACUGCUUCAAGGCUAAUGAAAGUUUUGGCCAGUGGCGCACCAGCUUGUGUUGAAGUAACAAUUCUUGAUGGAUUGGUUUUUGCCCGUAGCGCCUUUGAGUCCUCGAUGAACUAUCGAAGUGUUAUCGCUUUAGGCGAAGCAGAAAUUCUUGAAGGUGCAGAAAAAGAAACCGCCUUAGAAAUACUUACCGACAAAUUAUUCCCCGGCAGAUUACAAGAAGUAAGGCCGAGUAAGCCCGAUGAAUUAAAAGCAACUUUAAUUAUUGAAUUCCCACUAACCGAAACCUCAAUCAAGAAC